CUUUUUUAAGUUUGAAAUAGCACUGGAAUAUUUGAAUGUUACGACCAAAUUGGAAAUUUAUACGAAAGAAGUGCGAAGCGGUGGGACUAGAAGAACUGGAGGAAGAGGUGAAGAGAGUGCCUUAUAACGGUGAAAUAAAAA